rnacentral:rRNA from 1 species
GUCGAACGGCAGCUCGUCGUCGCUGUGGGGGAGAGGGGACGCGGGAGAAAUAUAUCUCGAAACACCCUCUAUCUGGGGAAACCCUUUCCAACAGCGAGCUUCCGCCUUCGUACUAUGGAUCUGACAGUUAAUCAUGAAAGUCUGUGUUGGACGGGGCAUGUCUCUGAUUAGCUAGUUGGUGGGGAAAAGCCCCACCAAGACGUGAUCUUUAGCUGUGUGAGAGGACGACCCGCCACACUGCUCUGAGACACGGACAAGACUCAUACGGGAGGCAGCGGUGGGGUAUUUUGGACAAUGGGCGAGAGCCUGAUCCAGUAAUGCCGCGUGAAGGAAGAAGGUCUUCGGGUUGUAAAGCUUUUUUUGGUAGAGAAAAAGUGGUGCGGACUAAUAUCCUGUGAUAAUGACGCUACCAGAAGAAUAACCGGCGAAUCAACUUCGUGACCAGCCGCGCGAUAAUACGUGGGGAACAAGCGUUCAUCUUUUAUUACUGGGUAAAGAGCGCAGCGCGGACUUUUGUGACAAUAGCGUGUAACAUCGCGCGACUCCACCGGUUUCCUCAUAGACAGCUAGCUAUAUCGGAGAAAGAGGGGAAUAUACUCGUGUGUGCGAAAAAAUGCAAAAAA